rnacentral:piRNA from 1 species
UAGAAAGAAUCUGCCAGUAGGAGAUGACG